rnacentral:rRNA from 1 species
AUGGUGGCGUGCUUGAGGAUCUGGUUGCUGAACUGCCCGGGCUUCUCGGUGGUGUCGAUCUUGUCCUGCCCCGGCGGCGGCAGCAGCUGGAAGUUCUGCACGAGGCGCCCGAGCGUGAUGCCGAUGAUGGGCAGCGCGAGGAUGAUCCCUGGGCAGCUCCGGCGGCCGACGCCGAAGGGCACGAACCGGAAGUCGUUGCCGUGGGCCUCGACGGCCUUCUCCUCCUCGAGGAAGCGCUCGGGCCUGAACUCGUCGGCGCGCACCCACCGCUUGGGGUCGUUGGCGAGGAACCAGGCGUUGACGAGGAUCUUGGACUCGGCGGGGAUGUCGUAG